GCCCCUGGAGCCCGGGCCAAGCCGGGUCAGGGGAGCGCUGGAGCGGCGCUGCUCAGGCUGUCCCUCGGGCUGUCCCUCGGACACUGCUCUGCACUUUGUUUCCAGACACCUGCCUGAGCUCUCAGCCCCCGCCCGGACCCCGUGCUGGAGUGACUUGUAUAUACAGAAGCAGGAAAGCGCAGAAUGAGGGGGUAUUGGAUAACACCAGUGGAAGUGAUCAGAAACUCCCUGGAGAAAACCAGAAGCUUCUGAUGUGUGAAAUAAGCAGAACUGUUUGGAGGAAUGAUGUCUGCAGUUAAAUAUUUACUUUAUGACAUCAACAUGCUGCAGUUAAGAGGUACUUGAUGAAUAUAACUUACAAGCUGGGAUGACUCUAAUGCUUUCUACCUGCUGGAGAUCUCAACAGAAAAUUCUGCAUUCUGAUUGUGUUUGUGCUUAUAAACAGAGUGAAGAACUAAGAUAAGAAUAUUUUAGAAGAAAACAGUAUAGAUUGUUUAUUAUCUAGAUAAUACAAAGGCGACAAGAAUACUUAGCUGCUUCUUGUUGGAAGGCAGGAGAAACUACUAUUACUUGUAAAGGACCUUCCAACUUUGUGUCAUGCCCGUCUACUCAACCCUCACCCUGAGUUCCAAGCUGAGUGUCUCAGAGGGUGGUGCCAGAUGUGAAAUAGCUGCUGACAGCUCCAGUGCAAGGGCAUGAAUGUACAAGGACUCUGUGGUGCAUUUAAGUGUAAGUAAAAUACCUGCAUGCCGGUGUGGGAAUGCUUCUUUUGUGUCGUAACAAGAGCUUUGUGUGAGGAAACUCUGCUGUACAAGUAGCAGGUAAUCUCCAUUGUGUUAUGCCAGCAUUGUUAAUUAAUUAAUCACUGUUAAUAGAGGGGGAAAAAGAUUUUUGGAAUUGUUCAUGUAUGCCUCCUGGGGAGUGGAUGUGACUCCAUCCCCUGGCCCUGCCCAUAUCCGAGGAAAGGCUCCAGGUGUGGACUGGGAGUGAUGGAUCAGCCCCAUCCAAACUCUGCUGGAACUCAUCCCUGCUCUGAAGAUGGAGGAGCAAUGCAGAACUCUGCUGGGAGAAGCUCUCAGAGCUUUAACCCUCACCAAUGGUUAUCCAAAUGUUUCUGACUGUGCAGCUUUUAGCAAAAUAUUUGUAAGGGUCUUCUGUCUGUGUGUGUGCAGGUGUGGUGGAGGUUUUUCAAAACCAUGUGACACAAAACCACUACAGCUGAUUUAUUAUUGAGAUGUAACAAAAAAAAAUAUCAAGUUGUUAUGCAUUGGGAAAACAGGACAGCACAGUCCUGCUUUAGAGAAGACUGUGACUUUGUCCUGUGUGUUCCUCUGAGCUCAGCCUGGGUUUCCAGCUCUUGUUUUGAGGACUGGCAGUGAAAUCCCCACUUGGGGUGGCUCCACAGGUAAAUAGAUGUGUGAAAGCUUCUGCUAUAGAUAAUGACUAGAAGUGUGCUAUGCAGAUCAUAGAAAA